ACAUGCAAGUCGAGCGGAAACGAUCCUAGCUUCGCUAGAAUGGCGUCGAGCGGCGGACGGGUGAGUAAUGCUUGGGAAUCUACCCUAUGAGUGGGGGACAACCCGGGGAAACGCUGGCUAAUACCGCAUAAGCCCUACGGGGUAAAGCAGGGGACCUUCGGGACCUUGCGCUGAUGGAUGAGCUCGCGUCGGAUUAGCUUGUUGGUGAGGUAAAGGCUCACCAAGGCGACGAUCCCUAGCUGGUCAUUCGAGAGGAUGAUCAGCCACACUGGGACUGGAGACACGGCCCGGACUCCUACGGGAGGCAGCAGUGGGGAAUCUUGGACAAUGGGGGCAACCCUGAUCCACCCAUGCCGCCGUGUGUGAAGAAGGCCUUCGGGUUGUAAAGCACUUUCAGCAGGGAGGAAGGCUUACCCCUUAAUACGGGUGAGUAUUUGACGUUACCUGCAGAAGAAGCACCGGCUAAUUUCGUGCCAGCAGCCCGCGGUAAUACGAAAGGUGCAAGCGUUAAUCGGAAUUACUGGGCGUAAAGCGCGCGUAGGCGGUGUGUUAAGUCGGAUGUGAAAGCCCAGGGCUCAACCUUGGAAUUGCAUCCGAUACUGGCACGCUAGAGUUCAGUAGAGGGAGGGGUAAACGC
rnacentral:rRNA from 1 species